GUUGAAAGGUGGAUUGGCAGAGUAAUGUAUUGUAAUCCCUCCUUCAGAUGGGAUUUUGAGAUGGCACACAAUAGUUUUUAUCUUACCUGGCUCAGUAAGUAGAUUGACCAAGUCAUCAUAUGGAACUUGCAUCUGCUGGGAUACUGAAAGAGCAAUGCGGAUUGCAAAAAGGAGAACUGUCAUCACUUUGAAUGGUUGCUGUGUGACACAAUUGAUAAGCGAGGACUUACCUGAAGUCAGUCUAUUUGCUCCAUUAGAAACCCUAGAGUUGAGGGCAAAAGUCAGGGUGAAGAUGAAGAAGAUUCUUUCUGUAACUGAGACAAUGUAAUGUGGUGGUAUUGGGAACUGAGCAGACCUCCCAUUACUGGAAAACUCUUAAGUUGUGCUUAAAAGACCAGUUCUGCGCUGUUUGCAAUCACUGCAACAUUGGGGGAAGAGGGGACAACUUUCCAUCUUGGCAGCACUAAAACACCUGUUUUGUUUAUCUCUGACAUUACUACAGAAUUACUACUACAGAGCCCAUAUUACUAGCAAAAAGUGAUUGGCUCUCAAACAGCAAGAUCCCUCCACAAUUUGAAGCAGUCAUUUGGCAGCAAGAGUGGUUAAAAAACACCAGAUGCUACUUUUGAAUGACCAGCUAGCUAUUCUGUAUGUUGGAGGAUGAUGGAUUCUGCUACUUUCUCCAUCUGAUUACACCAACUGCUUUAUCUUCUCACCCAGCAAUUUUGCUAGCCAAGCAGGACCUACCCAAAUCAUGGAUGCAGCAAGAAAGUGUUUUGAAUAGCGUAGCAAUAAGCUGAAGUCCUUAUGUUUAUUUUAUCCUGGUCCAGUAGGAGUGGGCCCUGUCUUCUUACCUUUCCUUCAGCAUGUACUGAUUUCAAUGGGGUGAAAAUAAAAGAAUGAAGAGCC